rnacentral:rRNA from 1 species
AUACGUAGGUGACAAGCGUUAUCCGGAUUUACUGGGCGUAAAGGGCGUGUAGGCGGUCUUGCAAGUCAGAAGUGAAAUUCCUGAGCUCAACUCGGGCGCUGCUUCUGAAACUGCAGGACUUGAGUGCUGGAGGGGAUAGCGGAAUUCCUAGUGGAGUGGUAAAAUGCGCAGAUAUUAGGAAGAACACCGGUGGCGAAGGCGGCUAUCUGGCAAGUAACUGACGCUGAGGCGCGAAAGCGUGGGGAGCAAACAGGAUUAGAUACCCGGGUAGUCCACGCCGUAAACGACGGGCGCUCGUCGUCGGCGGCAGACAGUCGGCGGCCAAGCGAAAGCGAUAAGCGCCCCACCUGGGGAGUACGGUCGCAAGGCUGAAACUCAAAUGAAUUGGCGGGG